GACGUAGGGCGCGAGCGUUGUCCGGAUUUAUUGGGCGUAAAGAGCUCGUAGGCGGCUUGUCGCGUCGUCCGUGAAAACCUGGGGCUCAACCCCAGGCUUGCGGUCGAUACGGGCAGGCUCGAGUUCGGUAGGGGAGACUGGAAUUCCUGGUGUAGCGGUGAAAUGCGCAGAGAUCAGGAGGAACACCCGUAGCGAAGGCGGCACUCUGGGCCGAUACUGACACUGAGGAGCGAAAGCGUGGGGAGCGAACAGG
rnacentral:rRNA from 1 species